rnacentral:rRNA from 1 species
CCUACGGGUGGCAGCAGUGGGGAAUAUUGGACAAUGGGGGGAACCCUGAUCCAGCCAUGCCGCGUGUGUGAAGAAGGCCCUCGGGUUGUAAAGCACUUUCAGUGAGGAAGAACGCCUGGUGGUUAAUACCCAUCAGGAAAGACAUCACUCACAGAAGAAGCACCGGCUAACUCCGUGCCAGCAGCCGCGGUAAUACGGAGGGUGCGAGCGUUAAUCGGAAUUACUGGGCGUAAAGCGCGCGUAGGUGGCUUGAUAAGCCGGUUGUGAAAGCCCCGGGCUCAACCUGGGAACGGCAUCCGGAACUGUCAAGCUAGAGUGCAGGAGAGGAAGGUAGAAUUCCCGGUGUAGCGGUGAAAUGCGUAGAGAUCGGGAGGAAUACCAGUGGCGAAGGCGGCCUUCUGGACUGACACUGACACUGAGGUGCGAAAGCGUGGGUAGCAAACAGGAUUAGAACCCCUGUAGUC